rnacentral:rRNA from 1 species
AUUGAACGCUGGCGGCAGGCUUAACACAUGCAAGUCGAGCGAGCGGCGGACGGGUGAGUAAUGUCUGGGAACCUGCCUGAUGGAGGGGGAUAACUACUGGAAACGGUAGCUAAUACCGCAUACCAUCAGAUGUGCCCAGAUGGGAUUAGCUAGUAGGUGGGGUAAUGGCUCACCUAGGCGACGAUCCCUAGCUGGUCUGAGAGGAUGACCAGCAACACUGGAAGUGAGACACGGUCCAGACUCCUACGGGAGAAGGCAGUGGGGAAUAGUGCACAAUGGGCGCAAGCCUGAUGCAGCAAUGCCGGGUGUGUGAAGAGGGCCUUCGGGUUGUAAAGCACUUUCAGCGAGGAGACGUUACUCGCAGAAGAGGCACCGGCUAACUCCGUGCCAGCAGCGGCGGUAUUC